ACUCCUACGGGAGGCAGCAGUGAGGAAUAUUGGUCAAUGGGCGCAAGCCUGAACCAGCCAUGCCGCGUGCAGGAAGAAUGCCCUAUGGGUUGUAAACUGCUUUUAUUUAGGAAUAAACCCUUGUACGUGUACAAGUCUGAAGGUACUAAAUGAAUAAGCACCGGCUAACUCCGUGCCAGCAGCCGCGGUAAUAC
rnacentral:rRNA from 1 species